rnacentral:sRNA from 1 species
UUAUUCUUAAUGCAACUAUUUACAAUCAGCGCAUUUAAAAGUAUAUUUUUGAUACCUUAUAUAAAUGGUUUUGAAUAUUUUCAAUUGUUUGGAUGUUACCGAAAUCGUCUAUGUUAAAGUUUCGCGAUCUGAUAGUCUGCUAAGAGCAAACUAAAUAAUCAAGUAAGUUCUAAACGUGCACCAAUCAGUAUCUUUUAUUGUUGAAUGUAUUUGCAAUUGAAGUUUGUAAAGAAAUGUUGUUGGGUUACAGAAAAAGAAAUAUGAAACGCAUGUUUCAUAGAAGGGUAAGCAAAGAGAAUCCUUUUAAUGAAAGGAUGCAUAAUAUGUAAACUCAAAUUUUAUAGGAAAACAUUAAGAAAAAAAUUCAGAGUCUGCAAUAUAAUAAUAGGUUGGUUUCGGACCCGGAAAGAGAGUAUCUAUAUAUUUUGAGAUUGUAAUCAUUUUAUUUGUAAAAUUCUUGAAUUCAGUUUGAUUCACAAAAUACCGGUUUUGCACGGUUGUCUGAAAAGAUUCGUGUUCAAAACAAAGGUCAAGCAAAAAGAAAAU